rnacentral:rRNA from 1 species
CCUACGGUGGGCAGCAGUGAGGAAUAUUGGUCAAUGGGCGCGAGCCUGAACCAGCCAAGUCGCGUGAGGGAUGAAGGUUCUAUGGAUCGUAAACCUCUUUUAUAAGGGAAUAAAGUGUUGUACGUGUCCUAUUUUGUAUGUACCUUAUGAAUAAGGAUCGGCUAACUCCGUGCCAGCAGCCGCGGUAAUACGAAGGAUCCGAGCGUUAUCCGGAUUUAUUGGGUUUAAAGGGUGCUUAGGCGGCCUUUUAAGUCAGAGGUGAAAGUCUGUGGCUCAACCAUAGAAUUGCCGUUGAAAAUGGGGGGCUUGAGGAUGUUUGAGGCAGGCGGAAUGCGUGGUGUAGCGGUG